rnacentral:lncRNA from 1 species
GCCCAUGGACAGCACAGCUUGUGCUUUGGAAGUGCCACUGGGGGCUCUCCCAAAUGGUGUCUCCCAGAUUUCAACCCUGGGUCCUGUGUUAUGUGGAAGCGUGCAGCAAUCUGGUCUGGAUGAAGAAAAUACCUCAGAAAGCCCAAGAGGAAUUUUUGCUUUGACAGUUUCUCUCAUGAGAUUUUUUCCACUUUCUAAUAAAAAAAUGAUUUAA